UUAAGUUCAGCGGGUAACCCUACCUGAUCCGAGGUCAAACUUAGAGAGUAAGGUUUGACGGCAGGCCUCCACCGGGUCCCGAAGCGAGCUGUAAUACUACGCAGGGGGAGCCGCGGCAGGACCGCCACUUCAUUUCGGGGCCUACGGACAGGGCACGAGGCCCUGAACCGUAGCGCCCCAACACCGGGCAGCGGAUAGCA
rnacentral:misc_RNA from 1 species